rnacentral:sRNA from 1 species
GAUUAAGGUGGUGCUAGUCAUGAUAAAGCCACAUCGGUUGACUCAUCGUGGGUGCUUCUAAAUGUAUUUCCAAAAACUGGUCAAUCUUAUCGGGUUCAGAGGUACUCAACCUGCCUGUAUGAAUAAAAUUUCAACACAUUUCCCAUCAAUGUCGACAGAAAGUGCGACCCUUAUCAAAUAUUUUACGGCGAUCAGAUAGACCGAUGGAUUUUUUAUCAUUUUAGCCAAACAAAAAAUCUCACGUAAUGUUGUAUGGCCAAACACUCAAUACUUGGUAACUCAAAGGUGCUGAUUAUUUACCCGCCACUGUAUGUUUCACUAGCCAUUGACAUUGAGCAAACUUCGGCAAAUGGCACGUGAGCGGGAAAGAGAUGGCGAAAGAGCGAGAGAGCCGGCAAGAUAAAGAAGCCGAUAUGUUGAAGACGAUCGUAUGCAAUCCUAUUUAAACGGUCGUAACAUUUGUUUUGACCACUAUCAGAAUGAGCGACCACUAUCAGCAUGGCUCCUGCUGGAAAUUCCACCAGUCAUGCUUCGCUUCCAGUUUCCAAACCUCAAUGUGCAGCAUGACUGAGCUGUUUGCAUGUACAUAUAUAAGUAUCCCGGUGCCCCAAUAUUUAUCAACCCCGACUUUCACUUACG